CCACACCGUAAACGUUGGGCGCUAGGUGUGGGGUCCAUUCCACGGAUUCCGUGCCGCAGCUAACGCAUUAAGCGCCCCGCCUGGGGAGUACGGCCGCAAGGCUAAAACUCAAAGGAAUUGACGGGGGCCCGCACAAGCGGCGGAGCAUGCGGAUUAAUUCGAUGCAACGCGAAGAACCUUACCUGGGUUUGACAUACACCCUGCCGCUCCAGAGAUGGGGCUUCUUUUGGGGGUGUACAGGUGGUGCAUGGCUGU
rnacentral:rRNA from 1 species